rnacentral:lncRNA from 1 species
AGAGGUCACUUUCCUAAUUAAUGAGCUAGGAUUCUCGGACAUAACACCCCCAUCCCCUCAAGAAAGACCUUGUCCUCAAGGUCGUAGUUGAGCCACAAAAUCUUGAAAUCGAUGCUUGAUGUAGCCCCAAUCUUCCCCAGAAGCACUUAGAUUAGCCCACUGAACCAAUAUUUUUACACCAACACUAUUGUUGACUCGUACCAUCUUCCUCUGAAGAAUGGAUGUUGGUUGAAUCAAGACCUUACCCUCCAUAUCGUAGAGAGGAGGUUGCUGUGCUGGGACGAUGGUAGGACCUAUUCGACGUAUCUCGAACCAUAAAGGAUUGACUGAACCAAUAUUUUUACACCAACACUAUUGUUGACUCGUACCAUCUUCCUCUGAAGAAUGGAUGUUGGUUGAAUCAAGACCUUACCCUCCAUAUCGUAGAGAGGAGGUUGCUGUGCUGGGACGAUGGUAGGACCUAUUCGACGUUUCAGUGCAAGGCAUGAAACACAAGGUGUAUUUGCGACCCUGGUGAAAGCUGUAAUCGGUAAGCUACAGAUCCAAUUUUUUGUUCUUAUAUGGACCAUAGUAUCUGGUAUAGGACUGGCGAUAGGGAUGUAGCUUUAGGUAAACUUGGUCUCCCAGUUCUAGUGUUCUUUCUGACCUCAAUCUAUCUGCAUAGAACUUCAUGCGAGCCUGGGCUUGAGUUAGAUUGUCCUUUGGUGCUUGUAACAUAUGCUGUCGUUGAGCCACACUCACUCAUGCUGGUGAUUGGCCAUUAUUAGGCAAGGAUCCUGUAGGUAGUUGGGGUGGUGAAUAACCAUACAGUGUGUGAAAUGGGGUGGUCUUCAGUGCACUAUGGUAGUUGGUGUUACACCACCAUUUCGCCAAAUGAAGCCACUAGGUCCAUUGCUUAGGAUUGUCAAAUACCAUUGCACGUAGAUAAGUUUCCAUGCACCUAUUUAACCUUUCACUCUGCCCAUCUUAUUGUGGAUGACAAGAGGGGUUGCUCUGAUGGUAAGCAACCCCCCUUCCAACCGAGAGGUUGUGAGUUCGAGUCUCCCCAAGAGCAAGGUGGGAAGUUCUUGGAGGGAAGGAUGCCGGGGGUCUAUUCGGAAACAGCCUCUCUNNNNNNNNNNNNNNNNNNNNNNNNNNNNNNNNNNNNNNNNNNNNNNNNNNNNNNNNNNNNNNNNNNNNNNNNNNNNNNNNNNNNNNNNNNNNNNNNUCUACCCAAGGGUAGGGGUAAGGUCUGUGUACACACUACCCUCCCCAGACCCCACUAAGUGGGAUUAUACUGGGUUGAUGUUGUUGUUGUUGUUGUUGUAAUUUGCUACCCAUAGUCUUGAAAAGGUGUUGCCAGAAAUUACUAGUAAAUAAAGGGUCUUUAUCAGAUACUAUUAUCCUAGGUAGCCCAUGUAGUCUAUAGACUUCCCUGAGGAAUAGUCUGCUACCUCCUGAGCUGAAAAUGGAUGUUUGCCAGCCAGGAGGUGACCAUACUUAGUGAACCUAUCAAACACCACUAACACUGCACUCUUACUCUCAGAGUUGGUUUGUCCCUCCACAAGAUCCAUGGAUAUGUCCUGCCAUACCUGGUCUGGUACUGGAAGUGGUCGAAACAAGCUUGGUGGUGGACAUUUUUAGCCUUAACUCUUUGACAAACAUCACACUCCUCUACCCAUUUACACAUUUCUUUUUUCAUAUCCGGCCAAUGAAACAAAAGGUGUAAUCUCUUUUAGGUAUCGUGUUGACCUAAGUGUCCACCAAUGGCAGAAUGAUGUAGAGUUUGUAUGAUUUUUUCCCUUAGAUUAGUGCCUUUUCCCAUAUAGAUUUUUUGUUUGUACCUGAUUACCCCUUGGUGAAAAGUAUAGUCAACCUUGCUAUUAGGAGCUAUGAUUGCACGAGGAGUGCCAAACCUUGUAAAAUGCUCUUUUUGAGAAAUGCAACAACACUCCGGGCCUCAUUUAUUAGAAAAGCCAUGGCUUCAACCCACUUUGUAAAAGACCCCUCAUCACAUAUGAUUGCACGAAGAGUGCCAAACCUUGUAAAAAUGCUCUUUUUGAUAAACGCAACAACACUCCAGGCCUCAUUUUUGAGUAAAGCCAUGGCUUCAACACACUUUGAAACAUAGUCAACUGCCAUAAGAAUGUAUGUGUUCCCACACGAGCUAACAAACUGGCCCUUAAAAUUAAUUCCCCAUACAUCAAAAAUAUCAACUUCAACGAUGGUAUUGAGAGGCAUCUCUUCGAAAUUUUUCCCGCUCUUUGGCAUUCGUCACACCUCUUCACAAUUUCACUUGUAUCUUUGUAAAAAGUUGGCCAAUAAAACCCAUAACUAAGAACUUUGGAAGUCGUCCUCACCCUGCCAUGAUGGCCACCAUAGGAAGAGGAAUGACAAUCCUCCAAGAUACUCAAUUUCUCCUCCUCUGAGACACACCUUCGUAUCACACCAUCCGUGCAAAUCUUGAACAAGUACAGCUCAUCCAAUCGAAAACCAAACUAUCUCGUUUGAGUUUCUUCCUUUGGUUAGAAGAUAGCUUAUACAUGAUUAUACCAGUCACAAGGAAAUUAUCAAUAUCCGCAGACGACGGCAUACCAUUCACCGAUAUCGAAAGGAGUUGUUCAUUGGGAAAUGAAUCAUUUAUAUCUAGUCCAUAUCGAGGCCUCCCAUCUUCCUCCAAGCGGGACAAGUGGUCUGACACUUGGUUUUCACUACCCUUCCGGUCCACAAUCUCCAAAUCAAACUAUUGAAGUAACAAGACCCACCGUAUCAAUCUAGAUUUGGAAUCCUUCUUCGUCAUCAAGUACUGGAGUGCGGCAUGAUCGGUAUGGACUAUGAACUUGGCACCCAUAAGAUACAUCCGAAAUUUUUCUUUUGCGAAAACUAUAGCAAAAAUUUCUUUCUCAGCCACCGUGUAGUUCACUUGAGCAUCAUUCAUUAUCUUGCUCGCGUAGUACACCGGAUGAAACAUUUUGUUCACUCUUUGACCAUAACCGCCCAAUCUCAACAUCGAUCGCAUCACAUAUGAGCUCAAAAGGUAAGCUCCAAUUAGGUGCGGUAAUGAUAGGAGUGGUGGUCAACUUGUGCUUGAGAAGUUCAAUGGCUUGCAUGUAUCUCUCAUCGAACACAAACUUGGCAUCUUUUUCCAAUAACUUGCAUAAGGGGUUCACUACCUUCGAAAAGUCUUUGAUAAAUCUUCGGUAGAACCUCGCAUGCCCAAGAAAACUUCUAACUCCCUUGACAGAGGUAGGGGAGGGAGCCUUGAAAUCAUAUCAAUUUUUGCUUUAUCCACCUCUAUACAAUGAUUUGAAAUUCUAUGCCGUCGGUAGAACCCCGUAUGCCAAAUAAAACAUCGAACUCCCUUGACAGAGGUAGGGGAUGGAACCUUGAAAUCAUAUAAAUUUUUGCUUUGUCCACCUCUAUACUAUGCUUUGAAAUUUUAUGCCCAAGAACUAUGCCCUCUUCCACCAUGAAGUGGUUUCUCCCAAUCAAGAUUGGUUUCUUCACAACGACCCAACACUCUAUCUAGAUUUUACAAACGUGCAUCAAAUGAAUCACCCACAACACUAAAGUCUUCCAUGAACACCUCCAAAAUAUCUUCCACCAUAUCAGUGAAAAUGGCCAUCAUACACCGCUAAAAUAUAGCUGGUGCAUUACACAACCUAAAAGACAUCAUAGAAAAGGCAAAUGUGUCAUAUGGACAAGUGAAUGUGGCCUUCUCCUCCUCUUCCGGAGUAAUCAAGAUUUGGUUGUAUCAGGAAUAACCAUCCAAUAAAUAGUAGAAGGCACGCCUAGCAAGUCGGUCUAACAUCUAAUCAAGAAAAGGCAAUAGAAAGUGAUCCUUGUGGGUCACUUUGUUCAACUUGCGGUAGUCCAUGCAUACCCUCCAAUAGGUGACUGUUCUGGUAGGAAUCAACUCAUUUUUUUGAAUUUGCAUUCACGGUCAUGUCACCAUUCUCCGAUACACAUUGCACCAGUGAAGUCCAAGAACUAUCAGAAAUGGGGUGCACAACCCCGGCAUCCAACCACUUGAUCACCUCCUUUUUCACAACUUCUUGCAUUGCUACGUUCAACCUCCUUUGAUGUUCCAGGGAGGGAUUUGCAUCAUCUUCCAGAAUAAUCUUGUGCAUACAGAAGCGGGCUUAUUCCCCGAAUAUCAGCUAAGGUCCAUCCAAUUUCCUUUUUUCGCUUUUGAAGCACCUCCAAUGUGGCAUCAACCCGCACAUUAGUAAGACAGGAGGAAAAGAAUAACUGGCAUAGUAGCACUAAGGCCUAAGAACUCUGCCUGAGGUAUAGAGCCAAUGGCUUCAAUUCCAACACCAAAGGCUCCUCGAUUUAAGUCUUAGUUGGAGGAGUCUUUCUAUUUUUAAGAUCCAAAGAGAAUUUCCUAGGCUCAUAAGAAAAAGAGCCCAUUCCAUGUAAAGCAUUCAUACACUCCACUCAUCUCUCAUCAUCAUUGUCAUCAAGAUUCAACAAUACGGCCUCUCCUCCACAUUGAUCACUGCACUAGUAUCAUCAACUAUCACUGCCAUGACAAGAUCCACAAAAGAGCACACCUCAGAACUGUUGGGCUACUUCAUUGACUUGCACACAUAAAAGACCACUUUCUCAUCACCCACCCGAAAGGUAAGUUCCUCUGCUUCCAAAUCAACUAAGGCCUUCCCCGUAAAAAGGAAAGGUCUCCCUAAUAUGAUCGAAAUUUCAUAAUCUACUUCACGAUCCAAGAUCACAAAAUCAACUAGCAAGAUAAAUUUGUCCACCUGGACAAGAAUAUCAUCAAUAAUACCCAUUGGGAUCUUCAUAGUUCUAUCUGCCAUUUGCAAUCUCAUGGAAGUCGGCUUUAGUUUCCCAAUACCCAAAGUCUUAAAAACUGAGUAAGGCAUCAAGUUGAUACUUGCCCCAAAUCACAUAGAGCUUUAACAAAGUCUGCACUUUCAAUGGUGCAUGGAAUGGUGAAAGCACCAGGAUCUUCUAGCUUCGGAGCCAUUAAGUGCACAAUUGCACUAACUUGGUGGGUCAUCUUUAUAGUUUCACAAUCUAUGGACUAUUUCUUUGUCACAAAUCCUUCAUGAAUUUAGCAUAGCCCAGUAUUUGUUCAGGAGCCUCCACCAAAGGAACAUUAAUGGUAAGGUCUUCAUCAUGUCAAUGAACUUUUUAAACUAAUUCUCAUUUUUCUGCUUCUUGAGCCUUUGAGGAUAAGGUGGAGGUGGCCUUGGAAAAGGAGCCUUGGCUGUAGGCACAACUGGCUCCGGCAUGUCUAUUACGUGUUCCCUAGACAAGUUCACGUCAUUUUGAGUUUCCACCUCGGCAUCUUGAAUAUCAUUCCUCACUUCUUUAUAUACAUUCUCAUCAAUCACAUUUUCAACCACCAAUGUAACUUUAUCUUUUUGCAACUCAACUUCAUCACUCAAAAUUUGCUUUUGUUUGGAGUCAUUCGCAUCAGUGCCUCGUCCAAUCCUUGUAGUUACCACCAUCACAUGAUUGUUUCCACCAUUCGGGUUGACUACCGUUUCACUUGUUAGAGCCCCAUUAGGGUGAGUAUUCAAGGAUUGGAAGAUUUGGCCUAAUUGAACCUCCAAAUUUCUAAUUGAAGUAUUGUGGGAAGACAACUGAGCAUCGGAAUCCACAGUCUUUUUCAUCAUCUGUUCAAAUAUUAUUUCAAUUCUCCCCAUAUCAUUGGUGGAAGAACUAGGCCUGUGUGAUGGAAAUGGGGGUGGAUUAUUCGGUUGUUGAUACAUUUGGGGCCUUUGAAAGCCUUGCCCCCGGUUUCUUUGAUUUCUAUUAUUCCAACCUCAUAGAUUAAUGUUACCACCCCAGUUGUUGUUUUUUCCAUUCCAAUUAUCCUGAUUGUUUUGAUUAUUCUUCUAAUUUCCCAAACUGGAAUUUUGGUUGUUGUUUCCCCAAUUACCAUCGCCUUGUUGUUGUUGAGUGCACCAAGUGCCUUGGGGUCUCCAUUGUUGUUGGUUGGAAGAAUUGCCCCUUUGACCUUGAUAAUUAUUCAUGUAUUGCACCUCCUUAUUCUUCCCAUCAUAACCAUCAUCUUGUAAUCCACCACAAUCAUUGUCAAAUUGAUCUGUACUCCUAGUGGUUCUGUUGACCUCUUUGUCUUCUUUUGUUUACUAGCAUGUUGACACCUCCAUAACAUUCACUUGACGAGGAUUUUGAACUUGUUGCAAUUGUGCCUUUGCUAGUUAGUUCAUUGUAGUUGUCAGCUCAACUACUGCAUGACCAUGAUCAUAUAGCUCUUUGUGUAAAUGAGUCAUCGUGGGGUCACCCUGGGGCACAUUGGUCUACUUUGCCAAGCAGAGGAAGUGUCAACCAUCUCGUCAAAAAUGUUACAAGCCUCAUCAUAGGUCAGUUUCAUAACCCAAUCAAGUUGAUUCACUAUGCAUUGGUUUGUUGUGUUAGUGCCCCAGUAGAAAGUCCAUUGGAUCAUCGGCUCAGUCAUAUCAUUGUUGGGGCAAUAUUUUCGCAUUGUUCUUUAUCGCUCCCAAAUCUCAUGUAAUGAUUUAGUGGGAUCCUAUUUGAAAGCAAAGACAUCAGUAUUGCUACGUGACUUGGUGAGAAAAACCUUGCUAUGAACUUAUCUGCCAACUCAUCCCAAGUAGAGAUGGAAUGGUUGGGGAAGUCUCUCAAGCCAAUCCAAUGCCUUCCCUUUAAGUGAGAAAGUGAAGAGUCUCAACCGAAGUGCAUCCUCGGACGAAUUAGUUUGCUUGCUCUCCCAAUAGGUGUCCACAAAACCCUUGAGAUUUUUGUAAGAAUUUUGAUUGGCAGCGCCCGUGAAAUACCCAGGUUGCUCUAACAAUGUCAACAUAACAUUGGUGAGUUGAUAAUUGCCCGUCAGGAUCUGAGGUGGGACAGUUGAACUUGCAUAGCCUUGGUUUGGAAGCACUCAUUGAGCCACUCUUAGAGGUGGCGGAGGAGGGUCUGGGAUAUUAUCAUUGGCAUUUGCCUGGUGGCCUCUCAGUUGUCCUUGAGGUAUAAGAGGCACCUCAUCCUCUCUAUUAUCAUCUACCUCCUCCCCCACAAUCACAUUUCCAAGUGGGUCAUUGUUGUAUGCUGCCAGUUUUGCAGCUGAAGUUGUGACACACACAAAUUAGCAAUGCACAAGGAAAGAAGAACAAUACACAAAACUAUUAAGAUAGAUAGCCAAAACCGUUAGCUCCCCGGCAACGACACCAAAAAGUGAUCAGGGCCUACCCUGUACUAAUACAGAGUAGCUAGAGUAGUCAAAGCAGCUUUUAUCCGAGAAGGUCGAGAUCGAUUUCCAUAGGGAUCUAGAGAUUGGGGUUGAGUUUCUAUCUAAAUUGGUGUUGCGUAAUUGUUCCUAAUUGCACUUUUAUUCAUAAUUGGUUUUGAUAUUACUUCUAAAUAUAUACUACCAUGAUGCUGAAUUGAGUUAAAUUAAGCUAAAAGUGAACUAUUGAAGGUUGUCUAAUUAGGUUAAAAGGAACUAGAGAAGCGAUAUUCUCCUAGGUGGAUAAUUGAUGGAUUCUCGAGUCUAGGGCUAGAUUGUCACAUUUGGGGAUUACGAUAUAACCAUUGCACGAUUAUACUCACACUACACCUCUCGGUAGUUCGAGUGAUUUUGCCCUAAUUGACUUUCUCAAGACCAAUUGGGUAUGAUAAUUUGUGCAAGCAAUAGAGGUUCAAGUCGGGUAUUACUAUCUUUAGGUUUAACCCUUUAAUUGAGGCUAUCAAUCUCUUGAGUACGCCCCAAUUUCUUGUUGGACCAAUUUCAUAGACUUAGACUUUCUUUCUCAAGACGAACCAAAGUCAACUAGGCAUAAAUUAGUGUUUGCAACCACUAAUUCCACACUAAAACCCUAAAUUAGUCUAAAUAUAAAACACCCAUAGACAAUUAAGCAUUAAAACAUAAUACCCAUCAUUUGCCCACACUAGGAUUGAGCCACAACCCUAGCUAAUGGGUCUAGCUAGUCAUAAUUGUAGGAAAAAAUAAAGAAUUAGAUGAAGAAAAAUCAAUAAUAAUUAGUUACUAGAUAAAACUUGAAGAUUCAAUGAUAAAACUAAGUUAAAAUUACUAAAAAUAGAAAAAAAGUAUUGUUCACGAGGGCAGCUAUUCGUCAAAAUACAACUGAUGACCUAAAAAAAUGAAAAAAAACUAUUUGUACUAGGCUGAAAAUUUUGGACAAAAAUACCCCGCGGUGCUAGUGCGGACCGCACAAAAUCAAGUGCAGCUGCCUAAGACUCUUGGCUGAAAUAAUCUGCUCUCUGAAUUUGGGCUUUGCGGACCGCACAAAGUCAAGUGCGGCCAUAGUGCCUUCUGUUGUGGUCCACACAAAAUGGACUGCAGAACGCAUUGGAAAUAUUCCUCCAAUCUUGGCACUCUCUGAACAAGAGGCUUUGCGAACUGCACAAAGUCGAGUGCGUCCGCAAUGAAGUCAAUGCGGUCCGCACAAAAUAUUUUGCGACCGCGUUGCUUGGCUGCCUAUAAUGCAUACUCUCUGAACCUCCUCUUUGCGGCCGCAUAGAAUGGUUUGCUGUGGCCGCAAUAGUCCUGUUAUAUUGAGCUUGGCUUUGUUCUUGGUACUUGUGCAUGUUUCACUCCUUUUUGAGCUAGUUUUGACAAAUUGUCACCAUGUUGACCAAACCCUGCAAUUAAGUACAACAUGUGAGCCUUUGAAACUAUUUUGUACACGUUUCUAACCAAAACUUAAGCAAGAAUGAGUGUAAAAUGCAUCAUAAUCCCUAGUUAUCAGAUGCUGAAGUUAUUUAGCUCAUUUGUAAAAGCGUCAAUACUAUAUAAGCUGAAGUUUUUGAAAAAACUCUUUAACAUAUUAGAUAAAUAAUCAUAUUGCCAACAGUAUCUAAAUUAUAAAUUUUGAAAUUAAAAAAUAUGAAAAGAACAGAAUUAUCAUUUCACAAAUUAUUGUCUACUAACUUAGUAAUUAUUUAUAAUUUAUUUUUAAAUAAUUUGAUAAACAUAUUUAUGACAAUUAUCCCAUGAAUUGAAGUUUCAUAGCAGCACCAACAACAGAAGAAGAAGAAGAAGAAGAAGAACAAGAAGAAGGAGGAGGAGGAGGAGGAUGAGGCAAUACACAAGGAGAAAAAAAGAGAUUGAAUUUGUUUAAAAAUGGGUAUAAGUUAAAACGUUUUAAAAAUAAAUAUUACAUAUUAAAUGGGAGCGAUCAAAUAAGACACCAUGUGUAAUUUUUUUCAAGUUUACCUUUUGCUUUCCGUUCUUUAUGGAACAUGAUGAUUUCUCUAAUGUUAAAUUGAUGCCACAUUGUAAAUGCAACUUCUUCAACUAGACAAUACUGUGUACGAGUGAUUUUAUGGUAUGCUUACACAAUCGAUAUUAGUUGUAUGAGGUUUUUAUUUUAUUUUAUAUAUUUAUGGGCCUAUAUUUUAUAUAUUUAGAUUCACAAAAAUUUGUGACCACAAAGUUGCGAGACAAAGUUGUGUUU